UUAAAGACGGGUCAUCAAAGA
rnacentral:siRNA from 1 species